rnacentral:rRNA from 1 species
CCUACGGGGGGCUGCAGUGGGGAAUAUUGGACAAUGGGGGGAACCCUGAUCCAGCCAUGCCGCGUGUGUGAAGAAGGCCCUCGGGUUGUAAAGCACUUUCAGUGAGGAAGAACGCCUGGUGGUUAAUACCCAUCAGGAAAGACAUCACUCACAGAAGAAGCACCGGCUAACUCCGUGCCAGCACCCGCGGUAAUACGGAGGGUGCGAGCGUUAAUCGGAAUUACUGGGCGUAAAGCGCGCGUAGGUGGCUUGAUAAGCCGGUUGUGAAAGCCCCGGGCUCAACCUGGGAACGGCAUCCGGAACUGUCAAGCUAGAGUGCAGGAGAGGAAGGUAGAAUUCCCGGUGUAGCGGUGAAAUGCGUAGAGAUCGGGAGGAAUACCAGUGGCGAAGGCGGCCUUCUGGACUGACACUGACACUGAGGUGCGAAAGCGUGGGUAGCAAACAGGAUUAGAUACCCCAGUAGUC